rnacentral:rRNA from 1 species
AGUGAACGCUGGCGGUAGGCCUAACACAUGCAAGUCGAACGGCAGCACAGUAAGAGCUUGCUCUUACGGGUGGCGAGUGGCGGACGGGUGAGGAAUACAUCGAAAUCUACUUUUUCGUGGGGGAUAACGUAGGGAAACUUACGCCAAUACAGCAUACGACCUACGGGUGAAAGCAUGGGAUCUUCGGACCUUGCGCGACUGAAUGAGCCGAUGUCGGAUUAGCUAGUUGGCGGGGUAAAGGCCCACCAAGGCGACGAUCCGUAGCUGGUCUGAGAGGAUGAUCAGCCACACUGGAACUGAGACACGGUCCAGACUCCUACGGGAGGCAGCAGUGGGGAAUAUUGGACAAAGGGCGCAAGCCUGAUCCAGCCAUACCGCGUGGGUGAAGAAGGCCUUCGGGUUGUAAAGCCCUUUUGUUGGGAAAGAAAGGCAGCAGGUUAAUACCCCGCUGUUCUGACGGUACCCAAAGAAUAAGCACCGGCUAACUUCGUG